rnacentral:rRNA from 1 species
UUGCCUUAGUAGCGGCGAGUGAAGCGGCAAUAGCUCAAAUUUGAAAUCUGGCGCCUUCGGUGUCCGAGUUGUAAUUUGAAGAAGGUAUCUUAGGUUUUGGCUCUUGUCUAUGUUCCUUGGAACAGGACGUCACAGAGGGUGAGAAUCCCGUGCGAUGAGAUGACCAAUUCCAGUUAAGUUCCUUCGACGAGUCGAGUUGUUUGGGAAUGCAGCUCUAAGUGGGUGGUAAAUUCCAUCUAAAGCUAAAUAUUGGCGAGAGACCGAUAGCGAACAAGUACUGUGAAGGAAAGAUGAAAAGAACUUUGAAAAGAGAGUGAAAAAGUACGUGAAAUUGUUGAAAGGGAAGGGCUUGAGAUUAGACUUGGAAUUUUCCGUAAGGAGCUUUCUGGGCCAGCAUCAGUUUGGACGGCAGGAUAAUUGCGUAGGAAAGUAGCACUACUUCGGUGGUGUAUUAUAGACUGCGUCGAUACUGCCUGUCUAGACUGAGGACCGCGUCUUUGACUAGGAUGCUGGCGUAAUGAUCUUAAGCCGCCCGUCUUGAAACACGGACCAAGGAGUCUAACGUCUAUGCGAGUGUUUGGGUGUAAAACCCGUACGCGUAAUGAAAGUGAACGUAGAUGAGAGCCAUUUGGUGCAUCAUCGACCGAUCCUGAUGUCUUCGGAUGGAUUUGAGUAAGAGCAUAGCUGUUGGGACCCGAAAGAUGGAACAAUGCCUGAAUAGGGUGAAGCCAGAGGAAACUCUGGUGGAGGCUCGUAGCGGUU